UACGUAGGGUGCAAGCGUUAAUCAGAAUUACUGGGCGUAAAGCGUGCGCAGGCGGUUUUGUAAGUCUGUUGUGAAAUCCCCGGGCUUAACCUGGGAAUGGCAAUGGAGACUGCAAGGCUAGAGUUUGGCAGAGGGGGGUAGAAUUCCACGUGUAGCAGUGAAAUGCGUAGAGAUGUGGAGGAACACCAGUGGCGAAGGCGGCUACCUGGACCGGUUCUGACGCUGAUGCGCGAAAGCGUGGGUAGCAAACGAG
rnacentral:rRNA from 1 species